GAUGAACGCUGGCGGCGUGCCUAAUACAUGCAAGUCGAGCGAACGGACGAGAAGCUUGCUUCUCUGAUGUUAGCGGCGGACGUGUGAGUAACACGUGGAUAACCUACCUAUAAGACUGGGAUAACUUCGGGAAACCGGAUCUAAUACCGGAUGAUAUUUUGAACCGCAUGGUUCAAAAGUGAAAGACGGUCUUGCUGUCACUUAUAGAUGGAUCCGCGCUGCAUUAGCUAGUUGGUAAGGUAACGGCUUACCAAGGCAACGAUGCAUAGCCGACCUGAGAGGGUGAGCGGCCACACUGGAACUGAGACACGGUCCAGACUCCUACGGGAGGCAGCAGUAGGGAAUCUUCCGCAAUGGGCGAAAGCCUGACGGAGCAACGCCGCGUGAGUGAUGAAGGUCUUCGGAUCGUAAAACUCUGUUAUUAGGGAAGAACAUAUGUGUAAGUAACUGUGCACAUCUUGACGGUACCUAAUCAGAAAGCCACGGCUAACUACGUG
rnacentral:rRNA from 1 species